rnacentral:rRNA from 1 species
AACGAACGCUGACGGCAGGCUUAACACAUGCAAGUCGAACGCAUCCUUCGGGGUGAGUGGCAGACGGGUGAGUAACGCGUGGGAACGUGCCCUUCAGUUCGGGAUAACCCAGGGAAACUUGGGCUAAUACCGGAUACGUGCGAGAGCAGAAAGAUUUGUCGCUGAAGGAACGGCCCGCGUCUGGUUAGCUAGUUGGUGGGGUAAUGGCCCACCAAGGCGACGAUCAGUAGCUGGUCUGAGAGGAUGAUCAGCCACAUUGGGACUGAGACACGGCCCAGACUCCUACGGGGGGCAGCAGUGGGGAAUAUUGGACAAUGGGCGCAAGCCUGAUCCAGCCAUGCCGCGUGAGUGAUGAAGGCCUUAGGGUUGUAAAGCUCUUUCGUCCGGGACGAUAAUGACGGUACCGGAAGAAGAAGCCCCGGCUAACUUCGUGCCAGCCGCCGCGGUAA